GAAUGACUUGGCAUAACUAGAUGUAAUUAACUUAUCUGCUACUUUAUGUGUGUCUUUGUAACUGAGUGACUUGGCAUAACUAGGUGUAAUUAACUUAUCUGCUACUUUAUGUGUGUCUUUGUAACUGAAUGACUUGGCAUAAGUAAGUGUAAUUAACUUACCAGCUACUUUAUCAGUGUCUUUGUAACUGAGUGACUUGGUAUAACUAGGUGUAAUUAACUUAUCUGCUACUUUAUGUGUGUCUUUGUAUCUGAGUGACUUGACAUAACUAGGUGUAAUUAACUCAUCUGCUACUUUAUCUAUGUCUUUGUAACUGAGUGACUUGGCAUAAACAGGUGUAAUUAACUUAUCUGCUACUUUAUCUGUGUCUUUGUAACUGAGUGACUUGGCAUAACUUGGUGUAAUUAACUUAUAUGCUACUUUUUGUGUGUCAUUGUAACAGAGUGACUUGGUAUAACUAGGUGUAAUUAACUUAUCUGCUACAUUUUGCGUGUCUUUGUAACUGAGUGACUCGGCAUAACUAGAAGUAAUUAACUUACCUGCUACGUUAUGUGUGUCUUUGUAACUGAGUGACUUGGCAUAACUAGUGUAAUUAACUUAUCUGCUACUUUUUGUGUGUCUUUGUAACUGAGUUACUCGGCAUAACUCGGUGUAAUUAACGUACCUGCUAAUUUAUGUGUGUCUUUGUAAGUGAGUGACUUGGCAUAACUAGGUGUAAUUAACUUAUAUGCUACUUUUUGUGUGUCAUUGUAACUGAGUGACUUGGUAUAACUAGGUGUAAUUGACUUAUCUGCCACUUUUUGUGUGUCUUUGUAUCUGAGUGACUUGGCAUAACUAGGUGUAAUUAACUUACCUGCUACUUUAUGUGUGUCUUUGUAACUGAGUGACUUGGUAUAACUAGGUGUAAUUAACUUACCAGCUACUUUAUCAGUGUCUUUGUAACUGAGUGAUUUGGCAUAACUAGGUGUAAUUAACUUACCUGCUUCUUUAUGUGUGGUUUGUAACUGAGUGACUUGGCAUAACUAGGUGUAAUUAACUUAUCUGCUACUUUAUGUGUGUCUUUGUAACUGAGUGACUUGGUAUAACUAGGUGUAAUUAACUUAUCUGCUACUUUAUGUGUGUCUUUGUAACUGAGUGACUUGGCAUAACUAGGUGUAAUUAACUUACCUGCUUCUUUAUGUGUGUCUUUGUAACUGAGUGACUUGGCAUAACUAGGUGUAAUUAACUUAUCUGCUACUUUAUCUGUGUCUUUGUAACUGAGUGACUUGGCAUAACUAGGUGUAAUUAACUUAUAUGCUACUUUUUGUGUGUCAUUGUAACUGAGUGACUUGGUAUAACUAGGUGUAAUUAACUUAUCUGCUACAUUUUGUGUGUCUUUGUA